UGGGGGAUAUUGCACAAUGGGGGGAACCCUGAUGCAGCGACGCCGCGUGAGCGAUGAAGUAUUUCGGUAUGUAAAGCUCUGUCAGCAGGGAAGAAAAUGACGGUACCUGACCAAGAAGCCCCGGCUAACUACGUGCC
rnacentral:rRNA from 1 species